AUUGAACGCUGGCGGCAGGCCUAACACAUGCAAGUCGAGCGGAUGAAGGGAGCUUGCUCCUGGAUUCAGCGGCGGACGGGUGAGUAAUGCCUAGGAAUCUGCCUGGUAGUGGGGGAUAACGUCCGGAAACGGGCGCUAAUACCGCAUACGUCCUGAGGGAGAAAGUGGGGGAUCUUCGGACCUCACGCUAUCAGAUGAGCCUAGGUCGGAUUAGCUAGUUGGUGGGGUAAAGGCCUACCAAGGCGACGAUCCGUAACUGGUCUGAGAGGAUGAUCAGUCACACUGGAACUGAGACACGGUCCAGACUCCUACGGGGAGCAGCAGUGGGGAAUAUUGGACAAUGGGCGAAAGCCUGAUCCAGCCAUGCCGCGUGUGUGAAGAAGGUCUUCGGAUUGUAAAGCACUUUAAGUUGGGAGGAAGGGCAGUAAGUUAAUACCUUGCUGUUUUGACGUUACCAACAGAAUAAGCACCGGCUAACUUCGUG
rnacentral:rRNA from 1 species